rnacentral:tRNA from 1 species
GGAGAACGGCCGCAUGGUGACGGCAGCUGUGUCGAAAGCAGCCAAGGGCGUGAGCCCAACCGGGUUCGAUUCCUGGGUUCUCCG